CCUUGUGGGAAUGAUAGAAGGAAGGCGGAGCUCAGACCAGGAGAAAAUGGCCGCCGCUCCUGACGUCACUACACGGCCAGGGAACCUAUUGCUGCAGCCGGACUGGUCUACAAGAAAAUGGCCGCCGGCCUCCUGCACUGAGGACAUGUAUUGUAAUAUUCAUUAGAGAGGGCGGGGCUGUGGGAGGUGUGUUGGAGGGGAGGGGCCAGUAACUAGGAAGCGGCCUGUGCCAAUCAUUCCCUACUUCCGGUCACUGCAUUCCAUUCCACACACAGGAAGCCUCGGUGUCCGUAGAGAUCAGGGUAAUACAGUAGUGAAGACGACCUUUGGUGAGUGUGAGACACCCAGCAGCCAUCCUCGUGUGUCAGGUUGACUAAGCAGGACCCACAGCCCCAUCACGGUGCCUCCACCUCACUCACUGAUACAUGAGAGACACAGUGACCAGAAGAUCCUGGAACUCACCAACAAGAUCAUUCAGCUGCUGACAGGAGAGGAGGGGGAGUAUAUAGAGGAACACACGGUUCUGUACAAGAACCGGCCCCUCACAUCACUGG